rnacentral:rRNA from 1 species
AGUGAACGCUGGCGGUAGGCCUAACACGUGCAAGUCGAACGGCAGCACAGUAAGAGCUUGCUCUUACGGGUGGCGAGUGGCGGACGGGUGAGGAAUACAUCGGAAUCUACUUUUUCGUGGGGGAUAACGUAGGGAAACUUACGCUAAUACCGCAUACGACCUACGGGUGAAAGCAGGGGAUCUUCGGACCUUGCGCGAUUGAAUGAGCCGAAGUCGGAUUAGCUAGUUGGCGGGGUAAAGGCCCACCAAGGCGACGAUCCGUAGCUGGUCUGAGAGGAUGAUCAGCCACACUGGAACUGAGACACGGUCCAGACUCCUACGGGAGGCAGCAGUGGGGAAUAUUGGACAAUGGGCGCAAGCCUGAUCCAGCCAUACCGCGUGGGUGAAGAAGGCCUUCGGGUUGUAAAGCCCUUUUGUUGGGAAAGAAAAGCAGCAGGUUAAUACCCCGCUGUUCUGACGGUACCCAAAGAAUAAGCACCGGCUAACUUCGUG